rnacentral:rRNA from 1 species
AAGACGGCCCUACGGGUUGUAAACUGCUUUUGCAGGGAAUAAACCCCGUUAACGUGUAACGGGUUGAAUGUACUCUGGGAAUAAGGAUCGGCUAACUCCGUGC